CAGUCGCCGCGGUAAUACGGAGGGUGCAAGCGUUAAUCGGAAUUACUGGGCGUAAAGCGCACGCAGGCGGUCUGUCAAGUCAGAUGUGAAAUCCCCGGGCUUAACCUGGGAACUGCAUUUGAAACUGGCAGGCUAGAGUCUUGUAGAGGGGGGUAGAAUUCCAGGUGUAGCGGUGAAAUGCGUAGAGAUCUGGAGGAAUACCGGUGGCGAAGGCGGCCCCCUGGACAAAGACUGACGCUCAGGUGCGAAAGCGUGGGGAGCAAACAGGAUUAGAUACCCGCGUAGUCCCUGUCUCUUAUAA
rnacentral:rRNA from 1 species